UUAAAUAUUAUUAGAUACUAUAUUGUCAUGAAUUUUCGUUGAUAGUGAUUUUGUAAAGGAAAAAAAAAUAUCUAUAUACAUAUAUAUAUAUACUUUCUUCAGGUAGAUUUGUCGCGCGUUUCAUGACCCGCCCUUCCAUUGUCCUUUGUUAUUUACAAAUUCUUUUUGUUACCUACAAAUCGAGCCGUUAAGAUUUGGAAGAGAAACGAACAGUAAGUAAUAGAACGUAGAAAAAAAGUUAGCACGAGAGAUUAUGCGGAUAUUCAUAAUAGAUAAUAAAUAGUAAAUAAAAUUUAAAUAACGUGAAUAAUAAACAGAAACAUAUUUUCGUUUAUCACCUCACACAAUUAAUCCGAUAUAUAUAUAUAUGUAUAAAGCAUCAUCAAAAUAAGGGGAUAAAGAUAAACGCAGAUAUACUGGAAUAAUUAUAGAAUUAUAAAAUUUGCUAGAACUUUGCGUUAUACCCGGAGACAGAACUUUGCACUCCAUUCUAAAUUACAACAUUCAUCCGGUCCUACCUGCUUGAAAUUAAAUAUUCGACCACACAGAAUAACGUGUACUACUUGCCUACCUAUAAUCUGUAUUUAAAAAAUAGCAAGAAGAUCAUUCCUAUACACACACUCCAUGACUAUCUCUCAUACCACCAGAGUGCGAAAACAAAUAGGAAAUAUGCCCCGAGGCACUUGCGAUACCCUAACUCAAGCAUGUAAGAUUCUUAAUUAAUAAGGAGUACGUACCAAUUGCUAUAAUCGAUUGUCAAGGCUAAUGAUUAUUACGUAAAUGACUAAAGCAAAAAGUACCAGUACAUGCUACAAUAGAAUACAUGCGCACUAGUAAUAUACGAGUAUUUCCAUGCAAUAUGUUGUAAAUCUACUACACAAAACGAUAUAAAUGAUAAUAUAUUAGUAUAGUAGUAGCACAAAGUAUGAAUUAAAAUGAUGAAACAAGAAGAUCCUAUCCUGAGCUAAUAAAAAUAAGAAUGCACAAUUGAUAUAGACAAUUAAAAAUAUGCCACCUGCGAAUAAAUCCAAAAGAGGAAUUGCAUAUGGUCAUGCUCGUCAAUAACUUAUUUAAAAAAUUAUAAUCAGUAACUUGCGCUGAUUCGACCCUUCCACCAUCAUGGCAUGAUUGAGCACUGAAGGUAUUUUAAUUUUGUUCACU